GCUCCGGUGGCCUAGUGGUUAGAGCGUCCGCCUCAGAUGGGGAAAAUUCGCGGGUUCGAUCCAACGGUCGGUGCA